AGUAGAAUGGCUGAGGUAAUAUAGGUUAUAGAUUGUAAAUCUAUUUAGGGGAUAGUUUCCCUUCUACUA
rnacentral:tRNA from 1 species